CUUUUGUUCUCCACAGCUUGUAUAUACCCAACAAAAUCUUUCAGGCAAUAUAGGAGUCACACACAGAGGUCACAUUCCAAUUCUUAAAGUGAGUAAAAACAGUCAUCCCCACAACGCAUAUGCAAUAUAUCUAAAUAACUUGUCACAAUUGAGGAAGGAGCAUUUUUUUCUUUGCCAACUCUUACUGGCAGGCUGCAAACUGUGGUAGUUAAGAUUCAAUCAUUUUGUUGUCUAGAGAGGUAAUUUUUUAUUUUUUUUUCUUCGAGACAGCGUUUCUCUGUGGCUUUGGAGGAUGUCCUGGAACUAGCUAUUGUAAAUGAGGUGGGUCUCUGUGAGUUCCAGGACAGCCAGGGCUAUCUUGAAACCACCCCCACCACCACCAAAAAAAAAAAAAAUUUCUUGUGGUCUUGCCUAAAGGGGUUUUUCCUAUCAGAGAAUUCUCCUCCUGGUGGGCUGACACCUUAAAUACUAAUUACCAUUUGCUGGUUUAUUUUUUUUGUUUGUUUGUUUUUUGUUUGUUACUUUGUUUUGGUUUGUGGUUUUUCAAGACAGGGUUUCUCUGUGUAGCUUUGGAGGCUGUCUUGGAACUUGCUCUGUAGACCAGGCUGGCCUUGAACUCACAGAGAUCCAGAGGCCUGUCUCUGCCUCCCAAGUGUUGAGAUUAAAAGUGUGAGCCACCACCACCUGGCCUAUCUGCUGUUCUUAUGACAUGACCCUCAGCACAUUUUGUGUUACAACAUAGUCCAAACUCCAGAGGACUCCACAGCCUUUGGUUUUACCAAAGAUUUUUGUAAUGGUUUAAAAAGUGGACCAGAAAGUAGUGAGAACCUUGGGAGUGUAGAUUAUAAUUUAAUUUUCAAAAGAUUGUAUGUCUGUAUACUGCAUGCACGCCUGGUGCCCAAGGAGGCAUCAGAUACCCUGGAACAGGACUUACACAGACAGUUGUGAACCAGUCCUCUUAGUAACCAAGUCUUGUCUCCAAUCACACCUUUAACUUGUUUAAUGUUCCACCACUGAACUGUUCACUCUGGCCAUUCAGAGUAAGGAAGCCAACCAAGGAGAGACACUGGGGUAGACAGACCUGCAAUGACCAAUUUCUGAUGGCCUACUGCACAUUCAUUUUAAGUUGUGAAUCACAGCUCUGGCAAAGUUCUGUGACUCAGUGAGUGGCAAGGGUCUGUACUUCCCACUUCCAAGGGCAGCUAUAGUUCCCUGUGGAGAUACCUGCUUACAAGAUUAAAAAGGCCACAUAACCUUUUUUGCUCUUUUCGGGGAAGGAGAACAUUGGGCUUCCAGGUACUUCCCAGAAUGCAACAGUUUCCAGCAGCCCCCCCCCCACCUUUUUCGAAUUAGAAACAAGAUUGUUUUACAUGUCAAUCCCAGUUCCCACUCCCUCCCCUCCUCCCCUACAACUCCCCCCCAACUAAAACCCUACCUAUCACAAAUCCUUUCUGUUCCCCAGGGAGGGUCAGGCCUUCCAUAGGGGGUCAUCCGAGUCUAUCAUAUCCUUUGGGAUAGGGCCUAGGUCCACCCCCGUGUGCCUUGGCUCAAGGAAUAUCCCUGUAUGUGAAUUGGGCUCCCAAAGUCCACACCUAUGCUAGGGAUAAGUACUGAACUUAUCUACAGGAGGUCGUGUAGAUUUCUGAGGUCUCCUCACUGAAACCCACAUUCCUGGGGUCUGGAUCAGUCCCAUGCUGGUAUCCCAGCUAUCAGUCUGGGGAGCAAGUUCCCCGAUGUUCAGGUCAGCUGUUUCUGUGGGUUUCACCAGCCUGGUCUGGACCCCUUUGCCCAUCACUCGUUGUUCUCUGCAACUGGAUUCCAGUUCAGUUCAGUGAUUAGUUGUGGGUGUCUGCUUCUACUUCCACCAGCUGCUGGAUGAAGGCUAUAGGAUGGCAUAUAAGACAGUCAGUCAUCAAUCUCAUUAUCAGGGGAGGGCAUUUAAGGUUGCCUCUCCUCUGUUGCUUAGAUUGUUAGCUGGUGUCAUCUUUGUAGUUCUCCAGACCUUUCCCUAGUGCCUGAGUUCUCUGUAAACCUAAAAUGUCUCCCUCUGUUAUGGUAUCUCUAUUCUUGUUAUCUUCUAUUCUUCCCCCACUCAACCUUUCUGCUCCCUCCUGUCCUCCUCACCCCUUAGCAGCCCCUUUUUUGUCUGCCUUGCAAGUGACAGUGAAGCUCAAAGGAUUCAAGGAAGGGAAGACAUGAGCUUAGCAGCCACUGGCCCUUGACUUGCAGCAAGAGAGGAUACCAGGGUUUCCUUCUACCUCAGGCAGAAGAACUAUCAGGUGAGCACAGCACAGAA
ensembl:lncRNA